UAGUUAUGUUCUUUAAACCUAAAGAAUUUGGCGGUGUUUUAAUCUAUUUAGAGGAACUUGCCCCUUAAUCGAUAAUCCUCGUUUUAUCUUACUUGAUUUAUUGAAGUAUGUAUAUCGCUGUUAUAAGUUUAUUUUAUUAGAAUUAUAAUUUACUUUAAUUUUUAAUUAAAUAUAUUUCAAGUCAAGGUGCAGCUUAUAAUUAAGUGGAGGUGAGUUACAAUAUAUUUAUAUAAACGAAUUUAAUUUUUAAAAUUUUUAUUGAAGGUGGAUUUAAUAGUAAUUUUGAUUAUAGUGUCAAUUUGAUUUUAGUUCUAAAAUAAGUACACAUCGCCCGUCGCUCUA
rnacentral:rRNA from 1 species